GGAAUCUUGAUGAGAAGAUAUCAACUUUAACUCUUGAUAACUGCACCACAAAUGAUAAGGUGAUAAUGAAGAAGCAACAAGUUUUUGGACUUGCCUUCAAGAGAUCCAAGAUGGAAUUGAGGGACUUGCUCUUGUUUGAAGAAAUGAAUGCACGGACAUGGCUCGGAUCUUGCUCAUUUCCUUCCAAACAAUCUCAUUUAGUCUUUACUGUCUAAUCUAAUGUCUAUUUUUAUGAGUUGUAACCCCUAUUAUAUGCCAUGAUAAAUUGUAAACUGUGCCAUACUGGAAUGCUUUUGGAUAUUUGGCGGUUGGCAUGAAAGAACUACUGCAAAACUAUGUUUUUAUGUAUGCACUAUGCCUGGACAACAUGUCUUGUUGAUGAGUGACCAUGCAA